rnacentral:rRNA from 1 species
UACGUAGGCAGCAAGCGUUGUUCGGAGUUACUGGGCGUAAAGGGUGCGUAGGCGGCUUUUUAAGUUUGGUGUGAAAUCUCCCGGCUCAACUGGGAGGGUGCGCCGAAUACUGAGAGGCUAGAGUGUGGGAGAGGAAAGUGGAAUUCCCGGUGUAGAGGUGAAAUUCGUAGAUAUCGGGAGGAACACCAGUGGCGAAGGCGGCGACCUGGGCCAAUAUUGACGCUGAGGUGCGAAAGCGUGGGGAGCAAACAGG